UGCGAACUCCUACGGGAGGCAGCAGUGGGGAAUAUUGCACAAUGGGCGCAAGCCUGAUGCAGCGGCGCCGCGUGAGGGAUGACGGCCUUCGGGUUGUAAACCUCUUCCAGCAGGGAAGAAGCGCAAGUGACGGUACCUGCAGAAGAAGCGCCGGCUAACUACGUGCCAGCAGCCGCGGUAAUACGUAGGGUGCAAGCGCUAAUCGGAAUUACUGGGCGUAAAGCGUGCGCAGGCGGUUGUGUAAGUCAGAUGUGAAAUCCCCGGGCUCAACCUGGGAAUUGCAUUUGAGACUGCACGGCUAGAGUGUGUCAGAGGGGGGUAGAAUUCCACGUGUAGCAGUGAAAUGCGUAGAUAUGUGGAGGAAUACCGAUGGCGAAGGCAGCCCCCUGGGAUAACACUGACGCUCAUGCACGAAAGCGUGGGGAGCAAACAGGAUUAGAAACCCCGGUAGUCCAGAUG
rnacentral:rRNA from 1 species